rnacentral:pre_miRNA from 1 species
AUUGCUGAAUUUUGUUCGUUGGAGCUUGUUCUGUUAUUUUAUUUGCACUGCCGUAGGAAAUACACAGUGACGGGAGGACUGCAAGGUUCUUCAGCUUU